GUAAAGCACUUUCAGUAGGGAGGAAGGGUAGUGUAGUUAACACCUGCAUUAUUUGACGUUACCUACAGAAGAAGCACCGGCUAACUCCGUGCCAGCAGCCGCGGUAAUACGGAGGGGUGCGAGCGUUAAUCGGAAUUACUGGGCGUAAAGCGCAUGCAGGCGGCCUGUUAAGUCAGAUGUGAAAGCCCGGGGCGUUAACCUCGGAAUUGCAUUUGAAACUGGCAGGCUAGAGUCUUGUAGAGGGGGGUAGGAAGUUUCAGGUGUAGCGGUGAAAUAGCGUAGAGAUCUGAAGGAAUACCAGUGGCGAAGGCGGCCCCCCUGGACAAAGACUGACGCUCAGAUGCGAAAGCGUGGGGAGCAAACAGGAUUAGAUACCCUGGUAG
rnacentral:rRNA from 1 species